rnacentral:lncRNA from 1 species
AAGUAAGGAAAGAAAAUACAUCGUACCAUAACACUAAAAAAGUUUAAUCAAAACAAUAUGAUGAUAAGAUCAUUUUGGACUCAAUGCUUCAGUGUCUGUGACUCGGAUGAGAGUAUUUAUUAAAUUAAUUAAUUCAUUAAUACUUAAUAGAUUAUUAUAUUAUACUACUGUAGUACUAGUAUUUAGUAAUUCUCUUCACUUCACUCUCUCAGAUCAAAACCCAAUCAUGGCUACCUUGCAGUUUCUACUCAAGAAAGCAACCAAAUCUAACCGUUCCGAUUCACUCACCGCCACAUGCAAAGCUUUCUCUUCUCUCCGAUCUUCAUCCUCCUCCGCCA